rnacentral:lncRNA from 1 species
UAUGAUGGUACAUGCUGGUAAUCCCAGCAUUUGAAAGGCUGAGAUAAAAGGAUUGCCCUAUAGCCAGGCAUAGUGGCACAUACCAUUAAUCCCAGCACUUGGGAGGCAGAGAUAAGGUCUCCUGAGGCCAGCCUUAUCUACAAAGCAAGUUCAGGACAGCUACAAGUACAUAGAGAAACCCUGUCUCAAACCCUACCCCGAUUAUUUAAGAAAAAAAAAAGACUGCUAUGAGUUCGAUGCCAGCGUGAGCUACAUAAACCUUGUAUCAAACAAAAAGUCUCAUUCCCAUUCUCUAUGGAAUGUUUUUUCCCCUUAGUUCUUAACUAGAGUUAAGCCUGUAUUUUACAGUUUUGUGAUUCCUGGACCAAGUGUGUAUUAUUCAUGAGAGAGAGAAUUGGUUUUUGCAAGGGGGUUUGUGCUGUGCAAGAAUAAAUGAUAAAGCCGGGGUUGUAGCCCCCUGGCAAGCGUGACUCUGAAGAGUGCAAAGAAGGGAAAAAUGUAAAAGUGUAUACGAUGAGAGUAAAGUGUAUGCUGGCUGCAGUCUAGCCAGCAGGUGUGGAUCUAGAGGAAAUGUGAAAGAACAUUCCAUCUCUCUGGUCGUGGGUGUACUGCCAACUGGAGAGCAGCCCAGAUAGGUGGAAGCUCUUUGGGGUGGUGAGUGUCCAACCUGCUGUGUUUAACAAGACCUGUGUCAGGGUGGUGCUUCCUAGAUAACUCAAAUUUAAGUGAGACCCUCAUAUAAGGACAGAUGACUUUUCUGCCUCUGAGCCUUUGGGAAUCUCAUAUGCAAUGCUGGCAGUUGUUUGAAACCUUACUCUUGAAUGCCCACCCUGUCCCUGCCGAGCUGUUGGUGCCAGCCCAAAUUUCCUUGGUGUUAGAGUGUGGCUAGAAGUGAAAACCUUCCUAGUUAGGGGUUCCUCCCUUCCCAGAGCAAACAGAGCAAGAGGUUGGGAAUGGUGGGGAACAGCUCAAGAGAUGAAGACAGAAGGAUCACUGUCCAUUUGAGAGUAGCCUAAGCCACACAGCAAACUUCCAAGUGUCCUGGCUAUGUCAUGGUGCUAAAUGUGGAAAAAGCCAUGCAUUCUUUUCUCAUUCCCAGUGUUUCUGUAUAAAUAAAAUGAAUUAUGCAAAGUGUUUGAAAAUCAUGGAAGGUACUUUUUAAACCAAUAAACUAUUUUUACAGCACUGUUUUUGCC